CAAUAGCGUAUAUUAAAGUUGUUGCAGUUAAAAAGCUCGUAGUUGGAUUUCUGAUCGAGACAUCAGGUCGGGUCCGAGAGGAUCAUGUACUUUGAUUUUGUUUUGAUCAUCCUUGGGGAGAGCAUUUCUGGCAUUCAGUUGUCGGGAUUGGGAUCCUCAUCGUUUACUGUGAAAAGAUUAGAGUGUUCAAAGCAGGCCUCGGCCUCUGAAUACAUUAGCAUGGAAUAAUAAGAUAGGACUUUGGUGGUCUAUUUUGUUGGUUUGCACGCCAAAGUAAUGAUUAAUAGGGAUAGUUGGGGGUAUUCGUAUUCAAUUGUCAGAGGUGAAAUUCUUGGAUUUAUGGAAGACGAACUACUGCGAAAGCAUUUACCAAGGAUGUUUUCAUUAA
rnacentral:rRNA from 1 species